rnacentral:rRNA from 1 species
UACGUAGGCAGCGCGCGUUGUUCGGAGUUACUGGGCGUAAAGGGUGUGUAGGCGGCUUUUUAAGUUUGGUGUGAAAUCUCCCGGCUUAACCGGGAGGGUGCGCCGAAUACUGAAAGGCUAGAGUGCGGGAGAGGAGAGUGGAAUUCCUGGUGUAGCGGUGAAAUGCGUAGAUAUCAGGAGGAACACCGGUGGUGUAGACGGCUCUCUGGACCGUAACUGACGCUGAGACACGAAAGCGUGGGUAGCAAACAGG